rnacentral:rRNA from 1 species
UGCGCCCUAGGGAGGCAGCAGUGAGGAAUAUUGGUCAAUGGGCGGGAGCCUGAACCAGCCAAGUCGCGUGAGGGAAGACGGUUCUAUGGAUUGUAAACCUCUUUAGGCGGGGAGCAAUGCCGGGCACGCGUGCCCGGAGGGAGAGUACCCGCAGAAUAAGCAUCGGCUAACUCCGUGCCAGCAGCCGCGGUAAUACGGAGGAUGCGAGCGUUAUCCGGAUUUAUUGGGUUUAAAGGGUGCGUAGGCGGAUUUUUAAGUCAGCGGUAUAAUGUCCGGGCUCAACCCGGGCCGGCCGGUGAUACUGG